UCAGAAUCUCAGGGUUACUUACUAAAGAC
rnacentral:piRNA from 1 species